CCAAAUUUUAUCUCUUCUAGGCGGUGGUAAAGAAGGGAAUGUCUUUUAAGUUAAUGGAAUGUUUGUGUCUGUUCUUGGUUGUAGAAAUUGCUGGACUUUGCAAGACAAUAUAUUUUGCACAUGAAAAACAGUUAAAAGAGCGUAAAGUCGAAGAAGAGAUGGAAUUUCUCCUUUUGCCUUAUUUCUGAUCCAAUGAUUGCUAGAAAAGAGAUAUCUUUUUGAAAAGGUAAGUAAUGAUUUCUAAGACACAGUUAAAUUGCUUUCUCAAAAGGAUGUAGGUAUAUGUAAAUGGACUAUAUCAAACUUAGACAUGGCAAGAUUUGAGUCUACAAGAUCUUAUAGGUAAGCAGCAGCGAAACUGGCCCUAGUCUUAUAUGCGGAUUUCCACUGAAGGAAAGUUGAUGGGGAGUUCCUCUAUUCAUUGUCAAUGGAAGACAUUGAGAGCUGGAAAUUCUUUGUGGAGACUUGUUUAGUUAGUUGUCUCGACCACCUAGUAGGAUGCAUCAAUGGAGUCAUGGAAUGGGCAGCUAGGGCAGGGUGGAUAACAGCCGACAUCAAGGAGUGUAGGUUAAGUAAUAUAUUGACAUCAUUUCGUAUGUAUUCCGUCGAAAUAAUCAUAUAUGCAGGUAAGGUAGAUGGUGACUUGUUUCUAUCAUUGGAUAUAUGGAUGUUCACCAUCCAACUUAAAGUAACAACUAACAAGUGACAUCCAGAUUACACCUUCAUAUAAGACUAUUUCGACGGAAUACAUAAAAUUGAUAUCAGCGCAUUACCCGUGGUGCAGGUGCAUGGAACUACUUAUCAGGAGGAGGAAUUUGUCAUGGCCUUGACUGUCAUAUCUAGGGUCAAACUUUUUGUUAAAAAAAAAAGGAAGAGAUCCCCACCUUAUGGAAGUUUUCCAUGUCCUAUAUAACUAUCCCCCGGAAGGGGCACAAAAAUGGUCCCUAACCCCAAAUCCUUCAGGAACCUUAGUUGGGAUUGACGAGAAAAACAGGAAGAGAUAUGGAGCAAACUAACGAAGAGGAAGGCGGGAGGAAAAGUUGGGGAAGAGGCCGUCUUAAAUGCACAUGAUGACUGACAGCGGCCUAGUGUCAGGACAGAUGAAAGCAAGUGGAAGAUGACACUAGACCUAGGUUUCUUGGGCCAGGAUUUAUGGACAUUAAAUCAGUCCCUCCCAGUGUUGUGAAGAGCGUGAAGCGAGGAAAAGCGACAACCCCCAUUUCACGAGAAGCGAGAAGUGAAGCGCUCGAUUUUUUGAAGUGAAGCGGAAUUUAAAAAUAAAAUUAAAAUAAAUACUGCAUAGACAACACAUGUAGUUGUAAGCAAAUGUUCAAUACUUUAAUUAAAAAACUAAAUAGUAGCAUCAAUUAAAGCACAAAAUGAGCAUCCUAUUCUUCUACAUUUGGAUCACCACCGAUUAGAUGUGCUUUUUGACGAUAGAUUUUCCCAUUUGAAAUCUUAUCACAAAAAAGACAUCUAAUGGCCAUCUUGUUGGUCUCGCUAACAGAGUAAGCCCAAACCGGUUCUUUCCUAUCUUCUUUUGGCGCCAUUAAAAGAACAACUACAUAACACAUAAGAAAGGCAAUAAGAACUAAGAAUAAAGGAUAUAAAAAAUUAGAGGAAUUCUCUGUUAAAAACUG